UCUAAGACAUCAUCUUCCUAUUGUGUGUUCAUUCCGCCCACAGCUGCAGUGGGAACCUGGCUACACCAGAGCUCAGGAAGACAACUGAGGCAUUACCUUUUCCAGGGGCUGCAGGGUACUGAGCACCUCCCUACCUCUGCUGACGCUAUGGACCUCACUCUCAACUUCUGGGCUUAGAGGGGCCACAGUCACCUCAGGGACACCCUUGUUCUCCCAGGGUCCUGCAAAGCAAAUGGCGCAUCAGGUCUAGGACUUCCGCUUUUUGUCCAGGACCCUUCCUUCCGUUAACAGGAUCCUCUGAUUGACAUGUGGACACUUGGAGAGAGAUGCUUCCUCUUUCUCUAGAGUCACCAGUGGUGAGACCACCCGGUCCCGUGGAAGCAUCUGCACACUCACCGCCUGCAAACUGACACCUCUCGCCUGGGCUUUGACUCAUGCAUCCGCUGCCUGCUGCACUCCC